UAGUGCAUGCUAUUAGAACUCGUAAGAAACUUCGUAAUCUUACGAGUGUCGAAGAUAUGCAAAAUAAAAAGCAUGGGCACAAGUAUCAUGUGUUGGUAUCAUUGUUUCAAGUUAUUUGUUGCUAUGGUAUCGAUAAGCAUGCUACGUGUGAAGUGCGACAAUU
rnacentral:misc_RNA from 1 species